UAGGGAAUCUUCCACAAUGGACGCAAGUCUGAUGGAGCAACGGCCGCGUGAGUGAAGAAGGUUUUCGGACCGUAAAGCUCUGUUGUUGGUGAAGAAGGAUAGAGGUAGUAACUGGCCUUUAUUUGACGGUAAUCAACCAGAAAGUCACGGCUAACUACGUGCCAGCAGCCGCGGUAAUACGUAGGUGGCAAGCGUUGUCCGGAUUUAUUGGGCGUAAAGCGAGCGCAGGCGGAAGAAUAAGUCUGAUGUGAAAGCCCUCGGCUUAACCGAGGAAUUGCAUCGGAAACUGUUUUUCUUGAGUGCAGAAGAGGAGAGUAGAACUCCAUGUGUAGCGGUGGAAUGCGUAGAUAUAUGGAAGAAUACCAGUGGCGAAGGCGGCUCUCUGGUCUGCAAACUGACGCUGAGGCUCGAAAGCAUGGGUAGCGAACAGGAUUAGAUACCCUGGUAGUCCAUGCCGUAAAACGAUGAGUGCUAAGUGUUGGGAGGCUUCCGCCUCUCAGUGCUGCAGCUAACGCAUUAAGCACUCCGCCUGGGGGAGUACGACCGCAAGGUU
rnacentral:rRNA from 1 species